CGCUAGUAAAAAACUGCAGGUCUCUACCUAAACAGUGUGACUUGUGUCCUUUGUCAGUGUGCCACUUAGAGCCUGUGCCAGCCACCUUCGGAACCAUCAGAGAAAUGACUCUGUUCCACCAAUGAACUAGCUACUACAGACACUCAAAUAUUUUGCCUCUGGUGAUUUCCUUCUGUCCACUGGAAACUUAAUUGGUACUGGCAAGGGGACAGCCAGCAAGAUUAUUAAAAGGAUGUGUAUGACAUGGACAACAUGCACAAGAGAUAGUUUCUAUAAUUUUUUAGAUUUCUGGUGUAAUUAAAUGAAAAUAAAAUAAACAAAUGUAUAUAGAUGAAUAUACUUUUAUUCUGAAA